rnacentral:rRNA from 1 species
UGGGUUUGACAUCCUGUGAAUCUUUCAGAGAUGAGAGAGUGCCUUCGGGAGCACAGAGACAGGUGCUGCAUGGCUGUCGUCAGCUUGUGUCGUGAGAUGUUUGGUUAAGUCCAGCAACGAGCGCAACCCUUAUCGUUAGUUGCCAGCACGUAAUGGUGGGAACUCUAGCGAGACUGCCCGGGUUAACCGGGAGGAAGGUGGGGAUGACGUCAAGUCCUCAUGGCCCUUAUGUCCAGGGCUACACACGUGCUACAAUGGUAAGUACAGAGGGCAGCAAGCCGGCAACGGUGAGCGAAUCCCUAAAGCUUAUCUCCGUCCGGAUUGGAGUCUGCAACUCGACUCCAUGAAGUGGAAUCGCUA